UGGGCAAGGGGAAGUCCUCCAGAAGGAAACACAGGGAGCUUCUGCUGAUGAGUCCAUAGGGCCUUAAACCUCCUUGGGUGUCUGCUUGCUCUACUUGGCUGCCUACGAACCAUUCGCCUGAUUGCCAGGGAAGAGAUCAGGAAGGAAAUUUUGAUUCGAUCUGAUCACAAAGGCUGCUGGUGCUUCUUCGAUCUUCCUCUGUGGCUUAAGGCUUGGUCUCCCUCCUGGAUGUCUUCACAGCUGCGUUUCCUGCUGUUGUUCGGACCCGAUGCUUCAGGACAGUUCUUGACCAUUAACACCAAUAUCUUUGGGAUAACAGAGAUCAGCAAACAGCUUGUGAUCCAACAAGGAAACAGCUGGACUAACAACAGGACUCUUGUUCAACACUCAUGACGAUGGUUGAACGCUCUCCUGAGAAAAGCAGGAUUCCUGUAUGGAAGGAGGAUGAGCACCCCAGCUUUGCAGCUGCAGGUUCAAAGUGCUGACAGCACCACCUCACCAUCCAUCUCAGACACGACUCCUUCUUCAAGCAGAGUUGCCUACCUGUCUCAGCCAAAGUCUUUGCGGCUUUUAGCUGCUGAAUACUCGGAGAGAGCCAAACCAGACUUUAGCUGGACAAUCCCAGAACUGGAAAUUACAUCAGUGUUCUGCUUCUUCCAGCAUCUCUUCAUUGGCCUGAAGUCAGCCCCUUUCUUGUGGAAAUAAAGGUAUUUCUGGCCCUGUGAUCCUACGUGCAGGACUAGGUGAUUUAAAGCAAUUGAUGAUGACACUUGUGGAUGCUGGCUUAUGCGUCAUGUUGUCUGAUGUGCCUCCGUAUUUGCUUGUAGGUUGUGUGAUUUUUGAGGCCGGUCAUGAGCGGCAGGCUGCACUUGCUGGUUUGUUAUUCUGGAGUUGUGCAUGUGGGCUGAACUGUUGGCAUUAAUUAUUUUUAAUAGCGAGUCAGACACUGAAUUACAGGAUCCUACCAAUGGAUAGAAGAGCAAACAAAGAAACAAACGGCCUUCCUCUCCCUCCCCUGACAUGUCAUAUUUUGUCUCCUAUGACCUCAACCGGCCCUUUAAAUUUCGUAUCAAACAUUAGAAAGAAAGAGGUCAAAGUAAGAGCCCUGUUGAAAAAAACCCCACAGCCAACCCAGAUAUGAACUAUGGGAACUUGUCAUCUUAUCAUCCUAAUUGAAGUCAUUCUGCAAUGUAUGACAGUCCAUCAUAUAUUCUGCCAGUCAGUGUGUCAUACAUGAUGUGUAACGAGAGAGCUCAUAAACCCAGAGGGGAAGCCCCUUCUUUUUUAUUACUUUAUUUGAUCAUUUUCAUAAAAAUUCCCCUUGCUCAAUACAGAGGGACGUGUUUAUUAGCCCCAUUAAAGCUUUGUCCAUUCAUUUGACACUGUGAUUUACACAGCUUUACCCACAAAAGAAUCCCAUUAUUUCCAGUCUGGAAAGGUGUCUUUUUUAUUGUGUGAUGAAAAAUAAGUAUUUAAUUCCACAGGUGAAGGCAAAGAAAGGGGAGGUUGUUGUCAGAGAUUCAGAAGUAAACAAAAGGAUGCUUUAGGUAUAAUUGACUCAGAAAAAGAAAACAUUCCCCGUAAAUAUAGAAAAAUAAAUAAAUAAAGAUGCUCUUCCCAAAGAGUGGGAAUUGAACUGGGCUCAGCUGAACUUUUUUUUUUUUCCCUGUGUGCCUUCAUUAAAACCAGCAGAAUUUGGCAAAAUUUCCCUCUGUGUUCUACUCAUGAAUGUUUCUAGAAAAUAUCAGCUUUCAUACGCAAAUAUUCUUGAAGUGAAAUUGGUGGCUUCCUUUGAACACAGCUAGUGCCUCAAAUCCCAUCUGCUUUUCCUACAACACGCCCACUCAUUAUCUAGCUUAUUUGGCUUUAUUUUAUUUUUUUUAAAUGAACACAAAUUAAGCUAUUUAAUCAAAUAUGUACAUGAUUACAUGGCAUUUUUGCAUAAGAGUUAUACACCCACGGAAAUCAUUAAUCACAGAUAACAACACUAUGUUAAAAUUAGACAUUUUGCUUGCUUUCUUUUUGUGUGUGUGUGUGUGUGCUUUUUAACACAAUAUCCUGCGUAGCUCUAAUUUCAC